AAAAAAAAAAAACUAUGCUCUGCUGAUUUCUACACAUUUUUUAUUUUUUUAAAAGACUUUAGAUUGCAACCUCACUAAGGGGAAAUUAAUUAGCACUCUACACUGUACUUACUUUCAAAUUCAAGAAUAAAAGCACAACACAAAUAACGCCCUCAAGAAAAGUGUGGUAGUCAAUGACUUUGUGUGUAUAUACACAUACAAUGGGAGUAGUCAUCAUCCAAACUUGUUAUCCUUCAAAGCAGUCUCCUAGGAAGUGCCUGAGCGCUCAACCCAAUAACAAUGCCACCGGGCAGUCUAU